rnacentral:piRNA from 1 species
UAAUAAUCCUGAAUGAUUUAAAUAUUGAA